UACGUAGGGUGCAAGCGUUGUCCGGAAUUAUUGGGCGUAAAGAGCUCGUAGGCGGUCUGUCGCGUCUGCUGUGAAAACUCGGGGCUUAACCCCGGGCCUGCAGUGGGUACGGGCAGACUAGAGUGCGGUAGGGGAGAUUGGAAUUCCUGGUGUAGCGGUGGAAUGCGCAGAUAUCAGGAGGAACACCAAUGGCGAAGGCAGAUCUCUGGGCCGUAACUGACGCUGAGGAGCGAAAGCGUGGGGAGCGAACCGG
rnacentral:rRNA from 1 species